rnacentral:lncRNA from 1 species
CCAACACGCGAAAAAAUAAUUCACUAAGAGAAAAGAUUACAAGGUGAUUACCGACUCCACGGACUCAACCUCUCUUAACCUCCUAUGAAUCUUCGCGCUACCCUCCGGGUUGUCCACGCCCUCACGUUCGAGUCCACGAACGUCUCCACUUCGAAUCCACGAAGCUUCAAUCACACCGAAUCCACGACGCCACUCGAAUCCACGAGCCAACGAUCCGAAUCCACGAACCGCCUUUGUUCACGCCGAAUCCACGACGCCGUUCAUAAAGAGCAUCAUGAUUAUU